rnacentral:rRNA from 1 species
AUGCAAGUCGAACGAUGAAGCCCAGCUUGCUGGGUGGAUUAGUGGCGAACGGGUGAGUAACACGUGAGUAACCUGCCCUUAACUCUGGGAUAAGCCUGGGAAACUGGGUCUAAUACCGGAUAGGAGCGCCCACCGCAUGGUGGGUGUUGGAAAGAUUUAUCGGUUUUGGAUGGACUCGCGGCCUAUCAGCUUGUUGGUGAGGUAAUGGCUCACCAAGGCGACGACGGGUAGCCGGCCUGAGAGGGUGACCGGCCACACUGGGACUGAGACACGGCCCAGACUCCUACGGGAGGCAGCAGUGGGGAAUAUUGCACAAUGGGCGAAAGCCUGAUGCAGCGACGCCGCGUGAGGGAUGACGGCCUUCGGGUUGUAAACCUCUUUCAGUAGGGAAGAAGCGAAAGUGACGGUACCUGCAGAAGAAGCACCGGCUAACUACGUGCCAGCAGCGNC